UUUCUUUCUUCUCUUGCUCUCUCUUUCUCUCUCUCUUCAUCCUUCUCUUUGCUGCUGCUGAAUCAAGAUCGAAGCAUUACACUCUAAUCCUCACCCAAACCGCUUCUCUCACUUCAGAAUUUAGAGGGAGAGAGGGGGAGAAAGACGCUGCUAUGUUCUGAUUCUUCUGCCAUAGCUCAAAACCUUAUCUCCAUUUCCACCUUCCAUAGCCACGAACCUUUACCCCUUCCUUGCUUUCACCUCUUCUAUCCUUAUCACCGAGAAAACUUUGCCUUAUGGCUCACCAACAAGGUAGAUGGCAAGCUAGAAUUGGCCAUGCUACAAGGAAGAAGGAUCUGUACCUUAGAACAUUUGGGCAAUUCUUCAAAUUGGAACAAGGUAUCAAGAAAUUCUUUGAGGACUAUGGUUAGAUCAGGAAAUGCAUUUCAAUUUGAUGGGUGAUA